CUUCUCACUGUUUCACAUAAUGAGUAAUGUGUUAAUUUUGUUUUGAAAGAUAAUUCCUACAAAUACUGAGUGAUGUAGUGGAUGGCUGGAAAGAAGAGGUAUGGUUUUAUUAAUUUACACAUAUACUUUGACUAGCUUUUGGGUAGUGCAGAUUUGUACCUACCAUCUUUUGUUUUUCGCAGGGGGUUUCUCUCAUAACAGCCUCUGCUAAUUGAAACUCCUCCAUUGUCCUCAGAGGCAGCUUGAUGGACGAAGCGGCAGCUUCUGGUGCUACCGGCCUCACCAUCUCUCUCCUAAGCGCCCUCACUUCACUCCCCAGGGUCUUCAGCCUCUGACUGUAUGUCUGAUGUUAAACACACUAACCAAGACCCUCACGUCACCGUGCACGUCCCACACUGCACCUGGAGGAAGGUGGUGCGCGACUGCCUUCUGGAGGCGGUUAUGAUCGUAAGAACUAGGAGGCCAGAAACAAUUCCAUGACUCCCCUGCCUCCUCCAACCAGCUGCUUGGCACUAUGGUAGUGCUCCUAUCUUUGAAUUCGACGACCUUCCACACCUGUGCCAUCUGUCAAUGAGAAGAUGAAGGAGAAUGCGUGCAGUGGGCUGAAUGGAGAAUUCGUGAAUCAAAGGCAACACCAUCAAAUGCAUUAUGAAAUUAAGCACUAUCAGGUUGUCAAGGCUGUAGCUCAGCGGGUACAUGGUCCUGGAUACCAGAUUUUUUUUUUUGGAAAACUAUUUAUAUAUGGAAUCUGAAUGCACUCCAGGAAAUGCUGCAGUUCUUUGUGCCACAAGAGGCCAAGAAGCUCUACUACAAGACGUUGAGGCAGAAGAUGAAGAUUAUUACAAAUUAUCCAAGUCAGUUCCGACCAAGUAAUUUGAUUGGACAAGAGGCAUUCCAGUGCUGAUAUAGAGUAUAACAGCACUGGGUCUUUUAACUAUACACGUAUCGCUCCGCUUUACGGGUGUUCUCAUAACCGUUAAUGUUAUUAACAAUCUUUUUGUAGCUUAGAUUGCAGCUAACUUUGCACAGCAAAUAUGAACAUGUUUCCAGGAAUAACAUUGGAGUUGAAUUAAGAAUGGUCGCCAGAAGAGGACCAAGGGAACCUAAUGCUAAUGUGUUUAUGUGUUGCUUGGCAACAGUUCAGUCCAGUUGCGGAUCUAUUUGUGUUGGCGGAGCCAAAUAAAUCAUUAAUGAACCAAAGAAAUCUGAUCAUAAUAUGUUAAUUAUUAUUGGUGCUUGUAGAACUGUUGUAUAAAAGCAAUAUCACUCAGGAGUGAGUGCUGUUGUACUACGGCUGGGAUUCGGUCGUAGGUAUGAGGCCGUUGGCCGAGUGCCGAAGAGAAUCACAGCCGUAGUACAACAGCACUCCCUCUCGUGUGAUAUUGCUUAAUUAUUCUGUUCCAAAAUUCCAUAAAAAGUCUGAUUACUAAGAAAUAUUGAUGUAUCAUUACUUUUGUCAGUUUCAAGUUUUUGUUUUAACACAGGUCUACCAACAAUGUGUAUGAUGUAUGACUACCUGAAAGCAUUUGUCUAUGACCUCACCCAGCUGCUGAGAGAACCUUCGGAGGUAAACCUCAAAGGUGUGCUCCUUUAUAAGCGAUGCUCCAGCAUGUGAUUUUCUUCAAAACAGUGUGCUAUCCUCUGGUUCAGUCUUUAUCAUCUACAGUUGAUUUAGGUACAAAAAAAGCCCAUUUCACAUAUCCCAUUGAUUAAAUGCACCUCUGCUGUUUGGGUGUAAAUUUUGCCAUCACUAUUUCUUGUUACGGAGAUGAGGACAACUACUUGCCUCUUUCAUGCAUCUCCUUUGUCCACAUCUAUGUUUGGGGAUUGUAAUUUGAAGCCAUUCCUCAAGUGUUUGCUAUGCCUCAUUGUUUAUUAUACUGCAUACUACAUUGGCACACUUGGGAAAAAAUAUAUAUUUUAUUCAAUGUCUUCCCUUCUACAAUGCGGCAGCAAAAUCAUUACUACAGAUUUUUUUCCCCCCACUUUAUUCUGUUUUGGGCAUUUCCUACCAGUGCAAAGAUGUUUAAAUUAGUCACUGAAAGCAGUGUUCUGAAAUAUCAAAAAUAGUUGUA
ensembl:lncRNA